rnacentral:tRNA from 1 species
GUCUGGGUGGCUCAGUCGGUUGAGCGUCUGACUUCGGCUCAGGUCAUGAUCUCACGGCUCGUGGGUUCAAUCCCCGUGUCGGGCU